AUUGAACGCUGGCGGCAGGCCUAACACAUGCAAGUCGAGCGGAGCGGCGGACGGGUAAGUAAUGCCUAGGAGUCUGCAAGGUAGUGGUGAAUGACGGCCGGAAACGGGAGCUAAUACCGCAUACUAUCAGAUGAGGCUAGGUCGGAUUAGCUAGUUGGGGGGGUAGGGGCAUACCAAGGCGACGAGCCGUAACGGGGCUGAGAGGAUGAUCAGUCACACUGGAACUGAGACACGGUCCAGACUCCUACGGGAGGCAGCAGUGGGGAAUAUUGGACAAUGGGCGAAAGCCUGAUCCAGCCAGGCCGCGUGUGUGAAGACGGUCUUCGGAUUGUAAAGCUCUGUUAGUUGGGAGGCGUUACCAACAGAAUAAGGACCGGCUAACUUCGUGCCAGCCGGCGCGGUAAUAC
rnacentral:rRNA from 1 species